rnacentral:rRNA from 1 species
UACGGCGAGUGAGCGGCACAGCUCAAAUUUGAAAUCUGGCCUCGGCCCGNGUUGUAAUUUGCAGAGGAUGCUUCUGGCGCGGUGCCUUCCGAGUUCCCUGGAACGGGACGCCACAGAGGGUGAGAGCCCCGUAUGGUCGGACACCAAGCCUGUGUGAAGCUCCUUCGACGAGUCGAGUAGUUUGGGAAUGCUGCUCUAAAUGGGAGGUAAAUCUCUUCUAAAGCUAAAUACCGGCCAGAGACCGAUAGCGCACAAGUAGAGUGAUCGAAAGAUGAAAAGCACCUUGAAAAGGGGGUUAAAUAGUACGUGAAAUUGUUGAAAGGGAAGCACUUAUGACCAGACUUGGGCCGGGCGGCUCAUCAGGGGUUCUCCCCUGUGCACUCCGCCCGGCACAGGCCAGCAUCGGUUCUCGUGGGGGGAUAAGACCGUCAGGAACGUAGCACCCUCCGGGGUGUGUUAUAGCCUGGCGGACGAUACCCCCGUGGGGACCGAGGUCCGCGCUCCGCAAGGAUGCUGGCGUAAUGGUCAUCAGUGACCCGUCUUG